rnacentral:rRNA from 1 species
CACUGGUGGCGACCGGCGCACGGGUGAGUAACACGUGUGCAACCAACCCCGUACCGGGAGAUAACCCGCGGAAACGUGGACUAACAUCCCAUGAUACUCGAGAGCCGCAUGGCUCUAGAUUUAAAAUUCCGGUGGUACGGGACGGGCACGCGCGACAUUAGGUAGUUGGCGGGGUAAGGGCCCACCAAGCCGACGAUGUCUAGGGGUUCUGAGAGGAAGGUCCCCCACACUGGAACUGAGACACGGUCCAG